rnacentral:misc_RNA from 1 species
AACGCACAUUGCGCCCCUUGGUAUUCCAUGGGGCAUGCCUGUUCGAGCGUCAUUUGUACCUUCAAGCUUUGCUUGGUGUUGGGCGUUUUGUCUUUUCUCUUGUGAUUAGACUCGCCUUAAAGUCAUUGGCAGCCAGUGUUUUUGGUAGUAAGCGCAGCACAUUUUGCGUCUUAGUCCUUAAAUGGCGGCAUCCAUAUAGCUACUUUUUCACUUUUGACCUCGGAUCAGGUAGGGAUACCCGCUGAACUUAA